GGAGAAUCUGCCAAAACACAUUGCACAGAACUGUGCUGCUCAGUUUCUGUCAGUUUGACCCAAAUCUGGAUACUCCUCGGAAGAGAGAGCUUCAGCUGAGGAACUGCCUCCAUCUGAUGGCUUGUGGGCAUGUCUGUGGAAUAUUUUAUUGACUGCUAAUUAAUGUAGAAGGGCCCACCUCAUUGUGGGCAGUGCCAUCCCUGGGUAGGUAGGCCUAGGCUAUAUAGGAAAGGUAGCUGAGCAAAGCCAGAAGUAAGCUGGUAACCAGCUUUCCUCCAUGCUCUCUACUUCAGUUCCUACCUCCUGGUUCCUGUCUCAUCCUCCUUCUUUAAUGGACUGUAACCUGUAAGAUGAGACCGAUAGAAAAGCAAAGUGCUGGCGGAGAGCCUGCUGCAACAAGGAUGUCGGCUCCAGAAGCAGCAGACAAGGCAGGCUGGAGUUGACCUUACUCCCUCUUGAGCCUGAGGUGGGCCAAGCAGUACAAACCAGCCCUACUGUGACCAUCGAUGAUGGGAUGAUACACAGUAGUUCUACAACAGCAUCGUGCCAGGAUGAGAUGACUGGAUGGCCCAUGAAGAAUGACUGUGGAUUGUGUAAAGCUUGAUGGGGUAGUAUCCUCCAUAUACAUCUUGUACCAUUCCUGCAACUAAACAGAACUUCUGAAGUUGCACUGUGGCUCCACCUCCAAUUAACUUUGCAACAAUGCUUCAAUUAGUGCGAGAUGUCCAAAACUCCAAUCACUGAACUCUCCACAAUCCCAGUAGAAACAGUAGAAGAAAACAAAAAUUUAGGUGUAUUCAACAAGAGAUAAAACCAAGAAGACCUUGGCUGGUUGAUAGCUGGAUGACGGGAUUGUAUGUAGCAGCUGCACUGUUUGAGCUGAAGUGAGAUCCUGAGUGGGUUACAGGAAAGACCUUGUGUUCUUUCAGAAGCCAUUUAGCACAAAGCAGAGAGGAAUGGAGUUGGACUAUGACAAGAUAAUAGAUUUCUCUGUCAGGAAAAAAAAAGCAUAUAGAGUCAUUAUUUCAAGGAACAAAGAAUGCAAAGAAGACCUUUGUUCUGGAAAGCAUUUGUAAGAAUUGCAUUAAUCGUUAAGCAAAAGACAUGUGUAAGACUAUCUGGAAUAUUGGCCCUGACUCCAACACUAAAGAAGUUAAAGUAACUUCGAUACUAUGUGAUAUGUAUAUGACCUGCUACUCCCACAGUUUCCAAUACCUGCUAGAAAUUGGUGGUUUGGAAAACAGCAAAUUUGUAUUUUACAAUAAAUAAAGUACUUAACAAGAAGAGUACUUAGAAAGUGCUAUAAGCAUGAACUUCACAGAAAUGUCUUUGUUUUGAAAAAACAGACCUUGAAGAACAGCCCGAUAGAAAGAGGGCAAAGAAGGUAGCAGACAGUUCCCAGGAGACAACAUACAGACACCUGCGACUAUAUCCAGCCCUGGUGAUGCACAAAUACAAAAUAAAAGAAGCGACUGUUACUUCCAAGACACACUGCUGUAACAGGAAGGCAGCAGCCCCUGGAACAGCGGCUGGAAGUAUGACUGUGCAUGAUCAGAAGGAGCUGCUGCUGCUUGGAAUCUCUGCCAACCACCUACCUCUCCCCCAGCCUGUGGCAGCACAAAGCCCAGAGCUCCUCCAUUCGAC